UUGACCUCGAAUCAGGUAGGACUACCCGCUGAACUUAAGCAUAUCAA
rnacentral:rRNA from 2 species